rnacentral:sRNA from 1 species
AAAUAGCCCUGAUGGAAGCGGCAUCCUCUUGUCUCGUCCCAAAAGACGAGACAAGAGAUAGAGCGGACAGCAGGAGGGAAG